AUUGAACGCUGGCGGCAGGCCUAACACAUGCAAGUCGAGCGAGCGGCGGACGGGUGAGUAAUGUAUGGGAAACUGCCUGAUGGAGGGGGAUAACUACUGGAAACGGUAGCUAAUACCGCAUACCAUCAGAUGAACCCAUAUGGGAUUAGCUAGUAGGUAGGGUAAAGGCUUACCUAGGCGACGAUCCCUAGCUGGUCUGAGAGGAUGAUCAGCCACACUGGGACGGAGACACGGCCCAGACUCCUACGGGAGGCAGCAGUGGGGAAUAUUGCACAAUGGGCGCAAGCCUGAUGCAGCCAUGCCGCGUGUAUGAAGAAGGCCUUCGGGUUGUAAAGUACUUUCAGUGGGGAGGCGUUACCGACAGAAGAAGCACCGGCUAACUCCGUGCCAGCAGCCGCGGUAAUUC
rnacentral:rRNA from 1 species